GGAAGAGCGAGAGGUAGAGUCCAGGAUGGGCUGGAGAGGGCAAGAGAGGAGUCCGGGGACUAGUGGAGAGACCACCACCACUGUCCAGGAGUGAAGAAGAAAAGAGGUGGUCUCAGUCCCCUGAGGGGCCAGGACGUCAGAUGCAGACCAUGAAGGUCACGAGGAUUCAGGGAAGAGGAACCCCAGGUCAGCAGGCGCCUUGGAGCUAGGCAGACCCAGGCUCCAAUCCUGGUUCCCAGGCACCUAGAAGCUGUGCAGCCUUGGGCAAGUCACCACACCUCUCUGAGCCUCAGCUCCAAUGUCCAGAGUCGAGCAGGAGACACCAAGCCCAAGAGGCAGGAUGAUACAAGGAGCUUUUCGGAAUUCGCUCUUUUCAGAACUCUUGGUAUAGAUCAGCCCAGUCAGAGGAGCUGGUGAAAUUUAUAGGAACUGUAAGAAUCAUUGCAGCAGUGACUACCCUCCGCUUCUGGAAAAUAAAGCCCUUGCAGUAAACACUGUUCAUUCUCUGAAGGGUAGACCAGAGCACUUACGGGAGCGAGAUGCAAAUAAGACUCAAGGUCAGGGCAGGAGAAUCCUGGGUGAGAAACCUCAGCUGAGCCCUUCUAACAUCCCAAGCCUUUGCAAGGCUCUGAAGGGCAAAAAUUCCAGGUGAGCUGGAAGCUCCCAGGCUGACGUCCCUCGUGGUGCCAGUUGGAUAAAGUUCAAGCUCCUUGGCUCUGCACCAGGCCCAUCACAAGAUGCUCCUCCCUACUCAUGUCCUGCUUCAGCGAGAAAGGACAGAGUGCUGUUCCCUGAUAAGCCCUACAGUUGCCCACUGCUGUGAACUUCCUGCAUGGACUGCCCUUCCUUGCCUCCAACUGCUGGGGGCUCCUACUCUCUACAGCCCAGGGAGCACACUCUCCUUACUCAUAACUCUCUGAGACCACUUAGCACCCUGGACAGCAGGGGCUUGUGCCAGCUUUGCCCAUCCCCACUCUAAGACUGAGGGAGCGCUGGGACUGUGGGAGGGCUGGGACUGAGGAAGGGUUGGGACUGAGGGAGGGCUGGGACUGAGGGAGGGCUGGGACUGUGGGAGGGCUGGGACUGAGGGGGGUGCCAGGACUGAGAAAGGGCUGGGACUGAGGGGGGUGCUGGGACUGAGAAAGGGCUGGGACUGAGGCAGGGCUGGCCUCUGAGGGAGUGCCGGGACCACACUAGGCUUACCUCCUUCUUCCCAGGGCCAAAGCUGGCACAAUGUGUUUAAUGAAUUUAUAAAGAAAGAGAGGAGAAAAAAAAAGAGAGAAGAGAGAGGGAGGGAGAGAGGUAGCAAGGGAAAGAAAGGGAGAGAGUGAGGUAGGGAGGGAGGGAGGGAGGGGAAGGGAGGAAAGGAAAGGAGGAAGGACAGAUCCUAGAAUCCAGAUAAUAUAAAGGUACCAAGAUGCCAAGUGUCAAUGUCUUCAUCUACAAAAAUGGAAAAACAGAGCUCGCCUCUUCGAGUUGUUACAGACUAAAUGCAAUAGUGAAUGAGAGCUCCUAGCACACAGGAAGCCCACCUGCCAGCCCUCCCUUCUUCUUCCCCUCUUUCACAGAACAGAGCAGAUCACAAAUGACACUGCAAGGUGAUACCUGCUGUGGAGAAAAAUGAGGCAGGGAAAGAGGGGCUGAAGAGUGGGAGAGGAGGGAAUGUUAUGAUUUUAAAUAGGGCUGGCUGUCAGGGGAAGUCCCUGUGAAAAGGUAACAUUUGAGCAAAGAGAUGAGGGCCUCAGCCAAGAGGACCUCCAGGAGGAAGGCAUCCCAGGGGGAGGGCAUGGCCAGGGCAAAGGACUGGAGGUGGGGGUAUUGUUAUAAAAUGCUGCAUGGGGCCAGGUGCGGUGGCUCACACCUACAAUCCCAACACUGUGGGAGGCCGAGGCAGGUGGAUCACCUGAGGUUGAGAGUUUGAUACCAGCCUGGCCAACAUGGUGAAACCCUAUCUCUACCAAAAGUACAAAAAUGAGCCAGGCAUGGUGGCACACGUCUGUCAUCCCAGCUACUCAGGAGGCUGAGGCAGGAGAAUCACUUGAACCUGGGAGGUGGAAGUUGCAGUGAGCCAAGACUGCACCACUGCACUCCAGCCAGGGUGACAGAAUAAGACUCUGUCUAAAAUAAAAUAAAAUAAAAUAAAAUAAAAUAAAAUAAAAUAAAAUAAAAUAAAAUAGUAAAAAAUAAAAUAAAAUGCUGCAUGGCACAGACAGCAUGUUUGACGUUUGGAUCAAGGAGCAAGGAAGGGGGUGGAGCAUCCCUCACCCUCCCUCCCUCUCUCAUUUCCCUAAAUCAUAUUGCCCUCAUCUGCUCUUAAACCUGGAGCUUCCCAAACACACACAUGGAUUAGGCACACAAAGUGUUAGGUUUGCUCCAACCCUGCAGGAUGGAAGAUAAGUCAAAGCUCCAGGGGAGAUGAAAGGGGCAGGAGACCAGGGCUGAGGUCUGCCCAGCUCAACUAGCUCCUGGGUUCCCAAACAGUCCCCACUGUACUCUGCUCUCCUCUAUUUUGUUUUUAAACACUGAUUGGGCACUGACUGUCUACAUGCAAGAUCCUUUGGUGAGUGCAUUAAUAAAUAUGAUCUCCAAAUGUGAACACCAAGGGCUUCAAAUAUUUUG
rnacentral:lncRNA from 10 species